rnacentral:rRNA from 1 species
GACGAACGCUGGCGGCGUGCCUAAUACAUGCAAGUAGAACGCUGAAGAGAGGAGCUUGCUCUUCUUGGAUGAGUUGCGAACGGGUGAGUAACGCGUAGGUAACCUGCCUUGUAGCGGGGGAUAACUAUUGGAAACGAUAGCUAAUACCGCAUAACAAUGGAUGACACAUGUCAUUUAUUUGAAAGGGGCAAUUGCUCCACUACAAGAUGGACCUGCGUUGUAUUAGCUAGUAGGUGAGGUAAUGGCUCACCUAGGCGACGAUACAUAGCCGACCUGAGAGGGUGAUCGGCCACACUGGGACUGAGACACGGCCCAGACUCCUACGGGAGGCAGCAGUAGGGAAGCUUCGGCAAUGGGGGCAACCCUGACCGAGCAACGCCGCGUGAGUGAAGAAGGUUUUCGGAUCGUAAAGUUCUGUUGUAAGUCAAGAACGGGUGUGAGAGUGGAAAGUUCACACUGUGACGGUAGCUUACCAGAAAGGGACGGCUAACUACGUG